rnacentral:lncRNA from 1 species
UCAUCGUGAUAUAUAUGCAUCUCAUUUUCUAAUUUAUUGUGAUCAUAUAUUCAUGUUUGAGAAACAGUAUAAAAGUUGUUUAUAAGUAUAGCGUUACUAGUUAUUAUACGUUAAAACGUGAAAAUUUUAAAAAUUGUUUUGUUAGAUGUGUUCAAUUGUUGACUUAAAGAGAUCAUCACCCUAUCAUAUGUCGGAAGGCUAAGUAGGCCAAGUCACGUUCGAAUUUGCGUAAGACUGGAUUGGAUCGAGUCAUGUUUGAAAUGGCGUAAGGUUGGGUGGGCCGAGUCACAAUCAAAAUUUAUAUAUACUAGCUGUAUUUGUACACUUUAAGCUAAAUUGGUUAUGUAUUUCUAACAACUCGAAUUUUUUGGAUCAAUAGUUAACGCCAUCAAUUCGGCAUUCAAUCACACUCAAAAUAUUUACAGAGUAAAGAUCAUAAAUUUCACAUCUCUUUAGAAACUACCGAAU